rnacentral:misc_RNA from 1 species
UAGUUUAUAGUCCCCUUGUGCCAUCACAGCCUCAUUAUAAUUUAAAUCUUCAGAGUAUUGCUGUCAAUGGACAAUUGUUACCGAUUGAUCCGGCAGCAUUUGCAACAUCAACUAACCGAGGAACUAUUGUUGACUCUGGAACAACUUUGGCAUAUCUUGUGGAAGAGGCUUAUGAUCCUUUUGUCAGUGCUGUAACUGCUAUGGUCCAACCAUC